AGGGAAUCUUCCGCAAUGGACGAAAGUCUGACGGAGCAACGCCGCGUGAGUGAUGAAGGUUUUCGGAUCGUAAAGCUCUGUUGCCAGGGAAGAACGUCCGUUAGAGUAACUGCUAACGGAGUGACGGUACCUGAGAAGAAAGCCCCGGCUAACUACGUGCCAGCAGCCGCGGUAAUACGUAGGGGGCGAGCGUUGUCCGGAAUUAUUGGGCGUAAAGCGCGCGCAGGCGGCUGUUUAAGUCUGGUGUUUAAUCCUGGGGCUCAACCCCGGGCCGCACUGGAAACUGGGAGGCUUGAGUGCAGAAGAGGAGAGUGGAAUUCCACGUGUAGCGGUGAAAUGCGUAGAGAUGUGGAGGAACACCAGUGGCGAAGGCGACUCUCUGGUCUGUAACUGACGCUGAGGCGCGAAAGCGUGGGGAGCAAAC
rnacentral:rRNA from 1 species